CGAAAGCCUGACGGAGCAACGCCGCGUGUGGGAAGAAGGCUCUUGGGCUGUCAACCACUUUUCUCAGGGAAGAAGUUCUGACGGUACCAGAGGAAUCAGCCUCGGCUAACUCCGUGCCAGCAGCCGCGGUAAUACGGAGGAGGCAAGCGUUAUCCGGAAUUAUUGGGCGUAAAGCGUCCGUAGGUGGUUAUUCAAGUCUGCUGUCAAAGCGUGGGGCUUAACUCCAUAGAGGCAGUGGAAACUGGAUGACUUGAGUGCGGUAGGGGUCGAGGGAAUUCCCAGUGUAGCGGUGAAAUGCGUAGAUAUUGGGAAGAACACCGGUGGCGAAAGCGCUCUACUGGGUCGCACCUGACCCUCAGGGACGAAAGCUAAGGUAGCG
rnacentral:rRNA from 1 species